CAAGUUUUCCGUAGGUGAACCUGCGGAAGGAUCAUUG
rnacentral:rRNA from 1 species